ACAUUGGUGGUUUAGUGUUAAAAUUCUCACCUUCCAUGCAGGAGACCUGAGUUAGAUUCCCAGUCACUGUA
rnacentral:tRNA from 1 species